UCGUUGUUUGCGGGCGUAGCAUCAUCAAGAUUCACAUGUAGUUUUUGCAUCUUCCCCCUCGGGGUAAGAUCUCUUGAGUUCAUGGUAAAAAUCGUGGGCAAGUGCAAAAGAAACUUCCCUUGGAAGUAUGAGAAUCUUGAUGAUGCUGCAUCGGCAAUAAAACGA
rnacentral:pre_miRNA from 1 species